UCUGGAAGAAUUUACCUCUUAAGUAGACUGAUUGGCAAAAUGGUUGAAAACAACAAUUAAUAAUUAAUUAUUUUACUUUGAAAAUACAGUAGAACUUCAUGUAAUUCAAUCUUUAAAACAUCAAUAUUUCAAAUAUGUCAUAGUGAGGUGGAGGUCUCAACAACAUCUUGAUGUGCAUAUUUAACUGAUUCCAUGAAGUUUUGGGGGUUUUUUUUCUUUCAGAAGUAUUUUGCUCUGAUGUUGUGUCAAUUUUAAAUGUUGUAAAAAUGCAUAGUUACCUCCAUUUUAACUUCAAUAUCAAUUUGAUAUAAAUAUGUGGAAUUCCCAAGUUUAUGCAAUACUUUCUUCAUGCAAUCAUAAUUAUCAUGUAUUUUUUCUGAUAGUUUUAAUUCUUAAUCAUCAGCAUAUCAUACAAAUGUAAUUAUUAUAUUUUGUCCAAAAAAAACCCUGGAAAAUAUGAAA
rnacentral:sRNA from 1 species